AGCAGCAACAACAAAAAACAAACAAGAAAACUCAAACUUUGCAGAAGAACACCUCUGAAAUCUAUGUCCACAGAUUUUUCUUGUUGAGAAUAUGAUGGUCUUUUGCAAAAAAUUGCUCAGUUUGUCUCUAUUCCAAACUUUAGUGAGCAACUGCCAAAGAUGAUAUUACUUGUUCUGGACUGAAGCCAUCUUAGCUGUUCAGGAUUCACCAUUGAUUAGGCUCCAGCCUGGAACACCUCGCAGAAAGAGAAAGGAAAAAGAGUCAUCGACCAUCUACAGUGAUACAAGGAAACGGUGUCGACUACCCCCUCAGACUGCAAAGCACUGUCCAAAUGUGAUAUGUCUACUGAGAAGAGAGCUUGCUGAGAGGUGUUCUCAACCUUCUGCAGGAUACAGAUUUCUCCUAAACCCUACUGUUUUUCCCUAGGACACUACAGAUUUAGUGAGAAUGUAAAGGAGAUAACAAAGGAGAAGCUAAAGAUUGUCAGCUCACACCUCCUUCCUGUAUAGAAUGUCCUUCGUCUGGAAUCUGGCAGAAGAAUCAUUCAAAGAAGGGUAAAAAUCUUAAGAAAAAAUGAACAAUAAACAUUGUAAAAUGAUUUGCUCCA
rnacentral:lncRNA from 1 species